GUAGGUGGCAAGCGUUGUCCGGAAUUAUUGGGCGUAAAGCGCGCGCAGGCGGUUCUUUAAGUCUGAUGUGAAAGCCCACGGCUCAACCGUGGAGGGUCAUUGGAAACUGGAGAACUUGAGUACAGAAGAGGAAAGCGGAAUUCCACGUGUAGCGGUGAAAUGCGUAGAGAUGUGGAGGAACACCAGUGGCGAAGGCGGCUUUCUGGUCUGUAACUGACGCUGAGGCGCGAAAGCGUGGGGAGCAAACAGGAUUAGAUACCCUGGUAGUCCACGCCGUAAACGAUGAGUGCUAAGUGUUAGGGGGGUUUCCGCCCCCCUUAGUGCUGCAGCUAACGCAUUAAGCACUCCGCCUGGGAGUACGGCCACAAGGCUG
rnacentral:rRNA from 1 species